rnacentral:rRNA from 1 species
AUUGAACGCUGGCGGCAUGCCUUACACAUGCAAGUCGAACGGUAACGCGGGGCAACCUGGCGACGAGUGGCGAACGGGUGAGUAAUGCAUCGGAACGUGCCCAGUAGUGGGGGAUAGCCCGGCGAAAGCCGGAUUAAUACCGCAUACGACCUACGGGUGAAAGGGGGGGAUCGCAAGACCUCUCGCUAUUGGAGCGGCCGAUGUCAGAUUAGGUAGUUGGUGGGGUAAAGGCCCACCAAGCCUUCGAUCUGUAGCUGGUCUGAGAGGACGACCAGCCACACUGGGACUGAGACACGGCCCAGACUCCGACGGGAGGCAGCAGUGGGGAAUUUUGGACAAUGGGCGCAAGCCUGAUCCAGCCAUGCCGCGUGCGGGAAGAAGGCCUUCGGGUUGUAAACCGCUUUUGUCAGGGAAGAAACGCUCUGGGCUAAUACCUCGGGGUAAUGACGGUACCUGAAGAAUAAGCACCGGCUAACUACGUGCCAGCCGCCGCCGUAA